rnacentral:rRNA from 1 species
UGGGGAAUAUUGCACAAUGGGCGCAAGCCUGAUGCAGCCAUGCCGCGUGUAUGAAGAAGGCCUUCGGGUUGUAAAGUACUUUCAGUCGGGAGGAAGGUGUCAAGGUUAAUAACCUUGGCAAUUGACGUUACCGACAGAAGAAGCACCGGCUAACUCCGUGCCAGCAGCCGCGGUAAUACGGAGGGUGCAAGCGUUAAUCGGAAUUACUGGGCGUAAAGCGCACGCAGGCGGUUGAUUGAGUCAGAUGUGAAAUCCCCGGGCUUAACCCGGGAAUUGCAUCUGAUACUGGUCAGCUAGAGUCUUGUAGAAGGGGGUAGAAUUCCAUGUGUUGCGGUGAAAUGCGUAGAGAUGUGGAGGAAUACCGGUGGCGAAGGCGGCCCCCUAGACAAAGACUGACGCCCAGGUGCGAAAGCGUGGGGAGCAAACAGG